ACAGAGUGGAGACGCAUGCUUGGUGGAAUGAUCACAGCAGAACUGAGGGUUAAUUUGAAAAAAUAAGGGGUCAGGGAGGAGGCCGGCCAAGAUGUUUUGGAGCAUAAUUGUGGUAUUAGGGCAGCUCAUAAAAUAAGAGAGCUUCCAGAGGUGCUGUGGUCGGGAUGCGGGCCACAUUCAUGGAAAGAGGUUGAAUGCAUUUUGAAAAACUAUUUGAAAAUUGGAUUGACACCUGAAACUAACACAACAUGUAUACCUAUGGG